UUAUAUCCUCUUUUCUUCGUUCUCCCUUCUCCCUUCCUUUUCUUCUUUCGACUGUCAGCGAAUCGGACCUCACCGUUUCACCAAUCGUCUCCCUUUCAUCUUAGGAACAAGAAACACCAGUCGCAUGCCUCGAUUCGUUAGGGUUUCGACGAGGAUUUUCGAAAACUCCUCAGAGUUUUCCGACGUUUUUGUGACGAUUCCGGCGAUGAUCGGCGUCGAGGUUGGUCUCAAACUAUUCUUCAGAACCUCAGAGAGAAAGCGGCUGGGAUAUGAGCACUAGGGGUUUUUACAAGGAUGAUGAAAAUUUCGCAGAAGACGGUAUAUGUUGAUGAGUUCGAGGAAAAGAAGAAGAUAGCAUCUCAUUUGAAAAGAGCAAUGAGUAAGAGUAAUUUUGGGUCCAUCAAAAGUUCGAUCUCAUUGAUACAAAAGCUUGAAGAGCAUUAGAUGUGAGGAUCCAAGUAGUGUCCCGGUUGUGGACACAAGCUCGAAGGAAAGCCGGUUAGAGUGGUCGAGGUUCAAAAGAUACUGGUAGAACUCAGACCGGAAAACGAAGAAGAAAGAAGAGUGAAGUACUUAGUGGCAAUAGAGAACAAAGUCAAAAGUAACCAAAAUACCUUUUCUAUGUAAUAUAUUCUACAAACAUCUUUUUACCCUUAUUGAACAUAUGUAAUAGAUUUUGAUAUAUAUUUCACACAUUUAAUUAGUUUUAAAAUCCGCAGCAUUGCGCGGGCUAAAUUGCUAGUGAAGUCUAUAUGAAGGGGAAAAAUGUACAAACUUUUGAGAACCAAAAUUAAGGUUGGGAAAUUAAAGGAAAGAAUGCGAUAAAGGGAGAUAUUUGAGGGGAGAAUGCGAUAAAGGAAAGAAUGGGGAAAUUAAAGGAAAGAACAAAAUUUUGUGACCCUUCCUACUUUUUGUGUCUAUAAUUUAGGUUGGGUUUAUCAACAUGAAGCAAAGGAGUGUCUAGCUUCUGAGUGUUCCUUUAAGAUUUGGCGCUUUCUGGCUCAGCACUUGGGAUGCCUGAAUUUGAAAUUGAAAAUGUAAGAGAGGACAAAUACUGAAGGCAUCAUCGCCAGCACCUCCGCAGUGGCAAAGAGAUCCUCAAGAAUGAAAAAUGGCAGCUGAUUUUCGAGCAAAAGCAUGUCAGGUACCUCUUCUUGUGUUCUUCCAUGUCUUCUAAGCCUUUCUUACCAUGGUGAAUCGGACCUAUAGAGACUACUUGAGGUGUGUAGGCCUUUUCAUUUACACACCGUAGUCGUUCAGGAACUUUGUAGAUGCAACACGAAGCG